UUUAAAACAAAAAUAUUACUUCAUUAAAAAGGACUAAAAAAAUAACCCCCGAAAAAAGCCCAAAACAGUCCUUUUAUCGCCAACUACCAUGUCUUCUCCAAAUAACUCUACAACUUCUCACAUACAAUUUUUAUUUCUCUCCCCAAAAAUCCGAUCAACCUCCAAUAUCAACGACAAUAUAUCAAUCCAAGGUUUUUAUGAUUCUAGGUUUGUCUACAAUACCUUAAUUUCUCUUAGGAAAUAGUGUUGUUAUCAAUCCGCUAUCUGAUAUCUGCCAAAACACUCCACAAAAUUUCCAAGUUAAUCUAUAACUUCUUAGAGUAAAAUCAGUUUGGACGGCACAUUAACAUGGAAGAACAUAAGAAACUCGCAAGAAAAACUAAAAUAUGCGUACGGAACCAGAAACGGCCUAAAUAUCCCCGGAUAAUAAUGGUAUGAACUUUUAUAAUUAUUUACUGAUUUUCAAUUCAAAAUCAUAUAUUGUAAUAACUGCCUAAUAUAUUUGUCGAUUGAGUAUAAGGGUGGUUUUCAUGGAGCUUUAGAGGUCACUUAUGCCUGAUUUACAGCAAAUAUUUUGGCUUUAGAGCUGAAAUUUUAAGGGAUUCAGCCAUUCAGUGCAUAUGUUGCUUGGUUAAUUUGCAUAUAUCUGGGUGUUUCUUUGCUUAUUGAGUAGCGUCGAUGUGUCUAUACGGCCUUACCUGUUUGCUUAGGUUAGCUGGGUGUUGUAUUUUAAUUUAGUUUUAUCCAGAAACUCAUUACUUUUUUUGUCGCUUCUAGCCUUGAGCUUUUCCAGUGUUGUUAAAUUAAGUGCUAAUUAGACGACGGAAUAGCAAUGUUUAUCAGCCAGCAGUAAAUGUCAAUGCUGAGUCUUUUUUUAUCAGAAGAGCUAGGAAGUUAUGAUUGAGUACUUCUGCAAUUAUAAUCUAAUCAAGGGAUCAUACACUAUUGAAACUUAA
rnacentral:lncRNA from 1 species